ensembl:lncRNA
ACAUUUAUCCUGGUGACUUCCAGUGUAAAUACAUUACUGCAAACAUGGCUUUUUUAUUUUUAGAAACCGACAGAUGAAUGUUUUUUUCUGUGGCAAUUAACACCAUCUGUGCCAUUAGAGAUUGACUUGAACCUGGAAGAUUGUAUGAAGAAGUAUGACACAAAAAGGGAUAAUUUGAGAUGAAAUCUCGUUCUGUCUUUUUAUAGAUAAGCUAUUUUUCCCUUGGGCAGAAAGCAAUAGGACAUCUGGUUGCAGCUCCAUCAAGGAGGCACAACAAGAGACAUUUAAUGUUCUUUUUCAGAUUACAGGGCUCCGUAUGGAAACACAUCUGUGUGACACAGAACAUGUUGUUAGUGGAUCUUACAGGAUAUACUAAAUCCCUGCUUUCACCCCUCAAGCUGAAGAAUGCAAUGAACCUAGAGAGGAUUGUUAUGAUGGGUAUUUGUGUUUGUAAAUGGCUGUAGGCAUAUAUUUUGUCUUUCUAUGAUUUGUAAUUGUGUUUUUGCUCACAGUGAGAGCAUAGAAAGUAUGUAUGUGUGUUUAUGGAUGGUGGAAUUAAGCUUUUACCCUCUGUGUGUAAAACAGCUCAGCCCAAGGACACUCUUUGAUCCCGUCAUUGUCUCGGCCUGGAAGAAAGAAAGCAAGUUUACAUAGCCUGAUGGGUUAAAUCUGCCAAUUAUGAUUUCUUAGGCCAACAUCAACCCACACGUUCCAGAGAAGUUGGGACAUUUUGUCCCCAACUAAGCAAGCCAGAGGCGACAGCAGCAAGGAACCAAAACUCCAUCAGUGACAGAAUUGAUAAAAAAAACCUUGGGAGAAACCAGGCUCAGUUGGGGGGCCAGUUCUCCUCUGGCCAGAUGAACCAGCGGUUGUUCAAGCAAAGUCAGGUUGUGCAGAGGACUCAUCUGGUUCCUGUGGUCUUGUCCCGAUGGCUGUCUUGGAGACAAGGUCUUCACUGGGGAUCUGUCUCUGGGGCUCAUCUAGUUGUUCUGGGCUCCGCUGACAUUCAGGGCUGUUGAGGUCAUCUCUAGGUUCUGAUCCACCAUCCACCAUACGUACUGGAUCCGGGUGACUGCAGUGACCAUCUGAUCUGGGUACAGACUGGAUCUGGUGGCUACGGUGACCUCGGAAUAAGAAAGAAUUAGUGUAGAUGCCAUUUUUCUAUUGAUGUAACAAGUACAUCGGGUGUUAUGGGAAGUGUUCCUGGUUCCGGCUGGCCUAAUGCAGCCUAACAAUCCUUUAACGGAUUUGAAUAUUAUAUAUGUGUUAGUGUGUUAUAUAAAAAAUAUAGAGCUGAGUAUCAUCAGCAUAACAGUAAAAGCUAACACCAUGUUUCCUGAUGAUAUCUCCCAAGGGUAACAGGUAAAGUGUGAAAAGUAACAGCCCUAAUACUGAGCCUUGAUGUACUUUAUGUGUUAAUGCUUUAUUUUUCAUUAAUUCAGCCACUGUAUUGAAUCAAUACCUGGGGUUAUGUUUGUUUUCUUCUAAAAGAGACGAAAAGUAAUCAGAUCUAGUAGUUUUUAAUGCUUUUCUGUAGGAUAGGGUACUUUCCCACCAUGAAAUACCUCUAGUUUGUUUUCCUCCAGCUGAGCUUCCAUUUUCUGGGCUGCUCUCUUUAGGGUGUGAGUGUGGUCAUUAUACCACGGUGUAGGGCUGGGCGAUAUAUCAAAUAUUAGCGAUAAUAUCGCAAUAAUUUUUACAACGAUAUAAAAUUUGAAAAUAUUGUGAAUAUUGAUUGUGGUCACUGUAUAAAUGCACUAACUCAAUCACUGUUGUGUGAAUAGAGAAACAUAGGCAAUGGCAAUGUGGAAUUACUAAUAGGAAUUUCACUGUUAUAAUAUUUUUCAUUUGUUUUGCCAGUUUUCAUUAUAUAGAAUUGGCAUGUCACCAUAUUGUAAUUUGUUGAGAUUGGUGAAUUGGAAAAUUGGUGGGUUUUUGUUAAAUGUGUACCAAAAUCAUCACAAUUAAAAGAACCAAAGACUUAAACUACUUCAGUCUGUGUGCAUUGAAUUUAUUUAAUACACGAGUUUCACAAUUUGAGUUGAAUUACUGAAAUAAAUUGUUUCC